AUUGAACGCUGGCGGCAUGCUUUACACAUGCAAGUCGGACGAGUGGCGAACGGGUGAGUAACAUAUCGGAACGUACCGAGUAAUGGGGGAUAACUAAUCGAAAGAUUAUCUAAUACCGCAUAUUAUUCUAUGGGCCGAUAUCUGAUUAGCUUGUGGGUGGGGUAAAGGCCUACCAAGGCGACGAUCAGUAGCGGGUCUGAGAGGAUGCUCAGCCACACUGGAACUGAGACACGGGCCAGACUCCUACGGGAGGCAGCAGUGGGGAAUUUUGGACAAUGGGCGCAAGCCUGAUGCAGCCAUGCCGCGUGUAUGAAGAAGGCCUUCGGGUUGUAAAGUACUUUCGUCAGGGAAGCGGUACCCGAAGAAUAAGCACCGGCUAACUACGUGCCAGCAGCCGCGGUAAUAC
rnacentral:rRNA from 1 species